AUUGAACGCUGGCGGCAUGCCUUACACAUGCAAGUCGAACGGCAGCACGGGAGCAAUCCUGGUGGCGAGUGGCGAACGGGUGAGUAAUAUAUCGGAACGUGCCCAGUCGUGGGGAUAACGUAGCGAAAGCUACGCUAAUACCGCAUACGAUCUAUGGAUGAAAGCGGGGGAUCGCAAGACCUCGCGCGAUUGGAGCGGCCGAUAUCAGAUUAGGUAGUUGGUGAGGUAAAGGCGUCACCCAACGACCGACCGAUCUGUAGCUGGUCUGAGAGGACGACCAGCACACUGGGACGUGA
rnacentral:rRNA from 1 species